UACGAAGGGGGCUAGCGUUGCUCGGAAUUACUGGGCGUAAAGCGCACGUAGGCGGCUUCUUAAGUCGGGGGUGAAAGCCUGUGGCUCAACCACAGAAUUGCCUUCGAUACUGUCGAGCUUGAGACCGGAAGAGGUAAGUGGAACUGCGAGUGUAGAGGUGAAAUUCGUAGAUAUUCGCAAGAACACCAGUGGCGAAGGCGGCUUACUGGUCCGGUUCUGACGCUGAGGAGCGAAAGCGUGGGGAGCGAACAGG
rnacentral:rRNA from 1 species